UACGGAGGGUGCAAGCGUUAUCCGGAUUUACUGGGUUUAAAGGGUGCGUAGGUGGGGCGGUAAGUCAGUGGUGAAAUCCUGCAGCUUAACUGUAGAAUCGCCAUUGAUACUGUCGCUCUUGAGUACGCUUGACGUGGGCGGAAUGUGCCGUGUAGCGGUGAAAUGCUUAGAUAUGGCACAGAACACCGAUAGUGAAGACAGCUCACGAAGGCGAAACUGACACUGAGGCACGAAAGCGUGGGGAUUGAACAGG
rnacentral:rRNA from 1 species